rnacentral:rRNA from 1 species
AGAGUUUGAUCAUGGCUCAGAACGAACGUUAGCGGCGCGCUUAACACAUGCAAGUCGCACGAGAAAGGGCUUCGGCCCCGGUAAAGUGGCGCACGGGUGAGUAACACGUGGGUAACCUGCCCUCGAGCGGGGGACAACAUUCCGAAAGGAGUGCUAAUACCGCAUAAGACCACGGGCUCGAAAGAGCACGGGGUAAAAGCUGGCCUCUGUACACAUGCUAGCACUUGAGGAUGGGCCCGCGGCGCAUCAGCUUGUUGGCGGGGUAAUGGCCCACCAAGGCUAAGACGCGUAGCUGGUCUGAGAGGAUGAUCAGCCACACUGGAACUGAGACACGGUCCAGACUCCUACGGGAGGCAGCAGUGGGGAAUCUUGCGCAAUGGGCGAAAGCCUGACGCAGCGACGCCGCGUGAGUGAUGAAGGCCUUCGGGUUGUAAAGCUCUGUGGGGAGAGACGAAUAAGUGCAGGCCAAUACCCUGCAUGAUGACGGUAUCUCCUUAGCAAGCACCGGCUAACUCUGUGCCAGCAGCCGCGGUAAGACAGAGGGUGCAAACGUUGUUCGGAAUUACUGGGCGUAAAGCGUGUGUAGGCGGUUUCGUAAGUCGGAUGUGAAAGCCCUGGGCUCAACCCAGGAAGUGCACUCGAUACUGCGAGGCUAGAGUAUCGGAGAGGUUGGUGGAAUUCUCGGUGUAGAGGUGAAAUUCGUAGAUAUCGAGAGGAACACCGGCGGCGAAGGCGGCCAACUGGACGAAUACUGACGCUGAGACACGAAAGCGUGGGGAGCAAACAGGAUUAGAUACCCUAGUAGUCC